rnacentral:rRNA from 1 species
AGUGAACGCUGGCGGUAGGCCUAACACAUGCAAGUCGAACGGCAGCACAGUAAGAGCUUGCUCUUACGGGUGUCGAGUGUCGGACGGGUGAGGAAUACAUCGGAAUCUACUUUUUCGUGGGGGAUAACGUAGGGAAACUUACGCUAAUACCGCAUACGACCUACGGGUGAAAGCAGGGGAUCUUCGGACCUUUCGCUAUUGAAUGAGCCGAUGUCGGAUUAGCUAGUUGGCGGGGUAAAGGCCCACCAAGGCGACGAUCCGUAGCUGGUCUGAGAGGAUGAUCAGCCAGACUGGAAGUGAGACACGGUCCAGACUCCUACGGGAGGAAGCAGUGGGGAAUAUUGGACAAUGGGGGAAAGCCUGAUACAGCCAUACCGCGUGGGUGAAGAAGGACUUCGGGUUGUAAAGCCAUUUUGUUGGGAAAGAAAAGCAGCAGGUUAAUACCCCGCUGUUCUGACGGUACCCAAAGAAUAAGCACCGGCUAACUUCGUG